rnacentral:tRNA from 2 species
AGCCCCGUGGUGUAGUGGACAAUCAUGCCGGCCUUUGGAGCCGGCGACGGCAGUUCGAAUCUGCCCGGGGCUA